CACGUAGGGUGCGAGCGUUGUCCGGAAUUAUUGGCGUAAAGAGCUCGUAGGCGGUGUGUCGCGUCGGCCGUGAAAACCUGCAGCUUAACUGUGGGCUUGCGUCGAUACGGGCAUCACUGGAGUUCGGCAGGGGAGACUGAAUUCCUGGUGUAGCGUGAAAUGCGCAGAUAUCAGGAGGAACACCGGUGGCGAAGGCGGGUCUCUGGCCGAUACUGACGCUGAGGAGCGAAAGCGUGGGGAGCGAACAGG
rnacentral:rRNA from 1 species